AUUGAACGCUGGCGGCAUGCUUUAACACAUGCAAAGUCGAACGGCAGCGGGUUAGUGCUUGCAUUACUGCCGGCGAGUGGCGAACGGGUGAGUAACAUAUCGGAACGUACCGAGCAGUGGGGGAUAACUAAUCGAAAGAUUAGCUAAUACCGCAUAUAUUCUGAGGAAGAAAGCAGGGGACCUUUGGGCCUUGCGCUGUUUGAGCGGCCGAUAUCUGAUUAGCUGGUUGGUGGGGUAAAGGCCUACCAAGGCGACGAUCAGUAGCGGGUCUGAGAGGAUGAUCCGCCACACUGGGACUGAGACACGGCCCAGACUCCUACGGGAGGCAGCAGUGGGGAAUUUUGGACAAUGGGGGCAACCCUGAUCCAGCCAUGCCGCGUGUCUGAAGAAGGCCUUCGGGUUGUAAAGGACUUUUGUCCGGGAAGAAAAGCGCGAUGUUAAUACCAUUGCGUGCUGACGUACCGGAAGAAUAAGCACCGCUAAUACC
rnacentral:rRNA from 1 species